GGGGGAUAUUGGACAAUGGGGGCAACCCUGAUCCAGCGACGCCGCGUGAGGGAAGAAGGUUUUCGGAUUGUAAACCUCUGUUGACGGAGAAAAAAAUGAUGGUAUCCGUUUAGAAAGCCACGGCUAACUACGUGCCAGCAGCCGCGGUAAUACGUAGGUGGCAAGCGUUGUCCGGAAUUACUGGGUGUAAAGGGAGUGUAGGCGGGAUAUCAAGUCAGAAGUGAAAAUUACGGGCUCAACUCGUAACCUGCUUUUGAAACUGACAUUCUUGAGUGAAGUAGAGGCAAGCGGAAUUCCUAGUGUAGCGGUGAAAUGCGUAGAUAUUAGGAGGAACACCAGUGGCGAAGGCGGCUUGCUGGGCUUUUACUGACGCUGAGGCUCGAAAGCGUGGGGAGCAAACAGGAUUAGAUACCCUGGUAGUCCACGCCGUAAACGAUGAUUACUAGGUGUGGGGGGAUUGACCCCUUCCGUGCCGGAGUAAACACAAUAAGUAAUCCACCUGGGGAGUACGACCGCAAGGUUGAAACUCAAAGGAAUUGACGGGGGCCCGCACAAGCAGUGGAGUAUGUGGUUUAAUUCGACGCAACGCGAAGAACCUUACCAGGUCUUGACAUCAAGUGACCGCCUAAGAGAUUAGGCCUUCCCUUCGGGGACACAAAGACAGGUGGUGCAUGGUUGUCGUCAGCUCGUGUCGUGAGAUGUUGGGUUAAGUCCCGCAACGAGCGCAACCCUUAUCAUUAGUUGCUACGCAAGAGCACUCUAAUGAGACUGCCGUUGACAAAACGGAGGAAGGUGGGGAUGACGUCAAAUCAUCAUGCCCUUUAUGACCUGGGCUACACACGUACUACAAUGGCGUUUAACAAAGAGAAGCAAAGCCGCGAGGCAGAGCAAAUCUCCAAAAAACGUCUCAGUUCGGAUUGUAGGCUGCAACUCGCCUACAUGAAGUCGGAAUUGCUAGUAAUCGUAGGUCAGCAUACUACGGUGAAUACGUUCCCG
rnacentral:rRNA from 1 species